UUGAAACCGACAAUAGAAUCAGAUCCGCCAAUAAUAAAAUCAUUACAAAUGGAGGAAAGUAUUAGCAGAAAAUUCGAUUAUGACGCUCUACCAGAUAAUAUAAAUAUUAAAAACGUUAGGCGCAUAGUGUCAGCGAUACCGAGGAGUUUGUCAUGGAAUGAAAAAGGAGAAAUCAUUCAUAACAACAAAACCAUUCAGGGCUCUAGUAUAAUGGAAUUGGUCUUGUACCUAUUCGGUCAUAAACGAGUGAGGCCCACUUGGUUUCUAAAGGUGUCAAAACUUCUACCAUCUCACAAGAUCAGACAGAAAAGAAAAUCAAAGAAGAAAAUAUUGUGGGAGACCUACAAGUCGCCGCAAAGAACAAAGUUGAUUUCAUCUUCGGAUGAAGAAUAUUUCUCAGAAGAAUGAGCUACAGAUCACCUGACGGCGGGCUCGGAGGGGUCAAACGAUAUCAAAAGGCACGGAAAAUCACAAGGAAAGAAGCACUACAAGAAUUACAACGCGAUGAUGUCUAUACUCUCCAUGAUGAUGCAAGACGAAGAUUUAAGAGAAGGAAAGUCAUCUCACUCCACCUGAAUGAUCUACAUCAAGCAGACCUCAUUUCAUUCAUCCAAUACAAGAAAUACAAUAAAGGAUUCUCAUACAUACUGCUUGUGAUAGACUGUUUGUCGAGGCAAGUCGUGGCCACACCUCUCAAGACCAAGCGAGGUGAAGAUGUGAAGAAAAGAUUUAUGAAGCUAUAUCGAAAGAGAGGCAUAAAACCGCGACAAAUCCAUGUAGAUCAGGGGUCUGAGUUCUUCAACAAACAAGUACAGGCUUGGUGUAAGCGUCAUGGCAUCUUAGUAUUUAGCUCUAGUCCAACAUUUUUUCCAAAUGCUCCAGAGUCGCCGCCGC